UAUAGCAGCUCAAAAGCUUUGGCAGAGGCAAGGUUUGACGCAGUAGGAAAACCCACCUCUCUUCCCAUUUGUGGUUCCUUCCUCACCCCUCAAAAAGGAUGCAUUAUUUUCUCCUCUCGCUCGUGCUGUUUGGAAUGAGAACCUAUGUCAAUUCUCAGGUGACCUUGGGCCAGGACCCUUCCGUGCAGCUGAAGCCUUCAGAGACCCUCCGGUUGACCUGCUCCAUUUCUGGUUUCUCCCUCACUGAGUAUGCGACUGCUGUGAGCUGGAUUCGCCAGCCCUUUGGGAAAGGACUUGAAUGGCUCUCCCUUGUCUUUUGGGAUGACGACAAGCGCUACUCCAGCACCCUGAAAAACCGGCUCACAAUUUCCAGAGAUGUUUCCAAGAGUGAAGUUUACUUGGAGUUCAGAGGCAUGGGGACAGGAGAUUCUGGCACAUAUUACUGUGCCCGUAGAGACACAGCGUGCAAAAGCAACGGGGAACCUGGACAAAAACCAGCUCUACAAUGA